AUAAGGCAAUUCCUAGUAGCGGCGAGUGAGCGGGAAGAGCUCAAAUUUGUAAUCUGGCGUCUUUCAGGCGUCCGAGUUGUAAUCUAUAGAAGUGUUUUCCGUGCUGGACCAUGUCCAAGUCCCUUGGAACAGGGUAUCAAAGAGGGUGACAAUCCCGUACUUGACAUGACCACCAGUGCUCUGUGAUACACUUUCUACGAGUCGAGUUGUUUGGGAAUGCAGCUCAAAAUGGGUGGUAAAUUCCAUCUAAAGCUAAAUAUUGGCGAGAGACCGAUAGCGAACAAGUACCGUGAGGGAAAGAUGAAAAGCACUUUGGAAAGAGAGUUAAACAGUACGUGAAAUUGUUGAAAGGGAAACGAUUGAAGUCAGUCGUGUUCAUUGGACUCAGCCGGUUUUCGGUGUAUUUCCUUUGAACGGGUCAACAUCAGUUUUGUCCGGUGGAUAAAGGCAGGAAGAAAGUGGCUCCCUCGGGAGUGUUAUAGCUUUCUGUCACAUACACUGGAGGAGACUGAGGACUGCAGCUCGCCUUUUGGCCGGGGUUCGCCCACGUUCGAGCUUAGGAUGUUGACAUAAUGGCUUUAAACGACCCGUCUUGAACCCCCGAACC
rnacentral:rRNA from 1 species